rnacentral:rRNA from 1 species
AUGUCGGGGGAGGACGUCCGCAAGGUCCAGAAUCUCAUUGAGCGCUGUCUCCAGCUGUAUAUGAACCAGAAAGAAGUGAUUGAUACCCUCUCCCUUGAGGCCAAGAUAGAACCGAGCUUUACUGAACUUGUUUGGCAAAAACUUGAGGAAGAGAACCGUGAAUUUUUCAAGGCAUACUAUUUGAGGCUGAUGCUUAAGAAUCAAAUAACGGCCUUCAACAAGCUUCUUGAGGAUCAGUUCCAGCUUAUGAACAAAGACUAUUCUUCAGGGAUCCCUUCUAUGCCUCUUACCAAUGGCUCCAACUCCACAACAUUGAAGCAAAACUCGUGCUUUUUACCAGAGUCUGGUCCCAUGUCUGCAAUGCCAAAUGGUGCGAUGCGCAACGGAAGUUCAGGUGGUUUAGUAAAUGGAACAUCAUCUGGUGAUCAGUCAAUUUAUGGUGGUAAAAACAUUCACGGUCCUCACAGUGGUAUGGAUGCUUCAACCAGCGUGCUACCAGCCCAGAAUGCAUCUGCUCUGCUUUAUGGUGCAGAUAAUAAUGGUACAACAAUAAAGACAGAGUCAAGCUAUUCGAGCAACGCUGAUUUUGCUUUCUGUGGGAACGCUUUCCUUGAAUCAUGCCAAUCAAUUGGCGAUGCCUCGGGUGGUUCCUUUAGCAGCUCAGAGUUGAACGGGCAACCACUGAAUGAUGCACUUCUGGAUAUGGAGUCAUCGUCAUUUGGCUUCUUGAGCCAGAUUCCCCGGAAUUUCAGUUUUUCAGACUUAACAGAGGGGUUCAACCAAAAUACAGAAGUAUUGGAGAAUUAUGGCAGGUCACCAUUUCUAUCUUCUGAGCCAAAUAACUUCUCAGAUUCUACAGGUGGAGAACAUACAGGUAAUCCAUUUUCAUCCAGUCUUCUUUUCGAGAGCCAGCUGUGA